rnacentral:rRNA from 1 species
UACGUAGGGGGCUAGCGUUGUCCGGAAUCAUUGGGCGUAAAGAGCGUGUAGGCGGUCCGGUAAGUCCGCUGUGAAAGUCGGGGGCUCAACCCUCGAAUGCCGGUGGAUACUGUCGGGCUAGAGUGCGGAAGAGGCGAGUGGAAUUCCUGGUGUAGCGGUGAAAUGCGUAGAUAUCUGGAGGAACACCGGUGGCGAAGGCGACAUCCUGGACCGGUAUUGACGCUGAGGCGCGAAAGCCAGGGGAGCAAACGGG